rnacentral:lncRNA from 1 species
CUUCAAAGACCCACUUUGGCAUUCUGUUCCAUGUUAACCCAGGCCCAUGUGCAUCUAUACGGAAACCCAAGCUAACUGCCUUGGAAACCACAAAGAGGAGUGCAUAUGUUUAUUUGUUGGUGAUCACAUUGCUGGGUACAGUGGAAAAACAUGUAAGAGCUUUCAAUCUGUUUGGAGAUACAGGACUUGUGAAACAACAUCAAAGCAGGUAAGAUGAAAUGUAAAUUAGAUCGAGUAGAGUAUAAGUGCAAAACUGAACUGAGCAAGACACUUCUGCACUUACAUUUUGUAGGAGUUUGGAGAAAAGGGAGACUGAAACGAGAGAUGGAUGGCAGACUGACUGGGUGCCACGUGUCCCUGAAAUGUCCUAACCAUACUCAAUAAGAGUGUGUGCCUUCUCAGGGAGUCUAUAGGGCAUGUGCCAGGCCCUUAAUAUCUACACUGAAAAUGGCGUGUUCAUUUCCAGGAAUACUCUGGUGCACUUUAACAAAACAAAAACCAAAUUCCUACUUCUGAAAUCCUUUUAUCAGAAAAUGCAGGGAUUUGGAGUCAGCUGACCUGUGCCAAAUCCUGAUUCUGUUACUUCAGUGGCUGUGGGAGCUGGGGCAUGUCCAGUCAGCAUAUGGAAUCUUGAGAUCCUGAUGUGACAAAUGGGGUGGUACUAAUACCAGUCCUGCCUAGACUUGGCCCCCAAUGUAAGGGGAACAAAUGAGAUCGUGUAGGCGAUGCCACUUUGCACAUUCUGAAGCACUAAAUGAAUGUGCAAUGGUGUCACCACAUGGUCUUUUGCCUCUUUUGCCUAUUACAUCUCUACCCCCAUGAUGUUCUGAGACUGGUGGCAUCUGCUCCAGAGAGGAAGCAGGCCUGGAAUAGCCCGGGUAUUUACGGAGGAGAUUGGCAGAGUGUGAGUUGUGAAACUCAGUGGUCUGCUCCAGAUCAUCCUGUUGAGUUCCUCACUCUCAUGAGCACUAAAUUUACUCUCCCCAUUUUUUAAAAAAUAGCUUCAGAAAUUUGCUCUAUUAUGUUUCUCUUCACUUUAUGUUGGGGGGAAUUUGAGAAUACUUCCAUACAAAGGGCUGUUCUUUGACUGAGAAUGAUCCUGUCAGGCAUAUAGCUCACCUCUCACUUGUCAGGCACACGGCAAGAGAAUGACUUUCUCAGAAUUAAUGGCCUUUUCUAAACCCAUUAAAGAAACUCUAAAGAUUAGGGCUGCUGUUCCCAAGCAUGAGGAUCAUUUUAUGUGGAUUGGCCACUUUGAAUAAGCUAGUGACUAGUGGAAGAGUAGCUGUAACCCUGCCCUCUGAAGGCUUGUACUCAUAAUGAGCUCAAAUGUGACCUAAGGACAACUAAACCGGUAAGUCUGAGACUUGAUUACCCUGUAUGUUUUGCAGCCUCCUCCUCUUACUCAGUGUGUGACCUUAGGCAGCUCACUGCACCUCUGUGGGAUUCAGUUUCUGCAUCUGCCAUAGAGGGAUCAUGAGUACCGAUCCUCCAGGGCUGACAUGAAAAUUAAAGAAGGUAGAGUGUCUACAGUGCUGAUCUACGUGAUUGGCAUAUAGGCAACACUCUGCAAAUGUUAGCUGUUAUGACUGUGAUGAUGUUAGGACCUUGUCACAGUGUAAAGGAAGCCAUAUCCCUGACCUCUGAGGGCAUGUGCUCAAAAUGAGAUAAAAUACAGAAAGACAAGCAAUCCAAACGUGGGCAGAAGGGGCAGGGAGGUUGCAUUCAGUCCAGUGGUUUCACCGAACCCUCCUUCCUUUCCAUCUCCUCCUACCAAAAUUGUUAACUUUACCACAGAACAAGACAUUAUUUUAACUGCCUAGAAACCAGGGCUUCUUUCGUUUUUUCCCCAAGUGGGGUGAGGGGGAAGGAAAAGAGAGAGGAAAUAAACACCAGCUGGGAUGAGAAUAUGAAGAAAAGAUAGGUUUCUUUUUUUUCCAUUAAAAAAAAAAGAAUGGGGUAGUGGGGACAGGGAGAAAAAUGUGUUUUGAAUGUGGAGGUACUGUUGCAAAUAGCACAGGCAGUUUCCCAGAGCCGCACUUCUUCCAAUCAUCUCAGAGCAGGCAGUGCUCUGGCCCCAGCCAAUUAUUUAUUUACACAAGAGGUACAGAUGCCAGAGGCAGGUGUCAAAACAAUUAAUAACACUCCCGAAAUGAAUAGUCUCUCCGUAACUCUGCCAGCCCGUGUAGGCUGGCUCCUCAGGAGAGAGCUCCCUGAGAAACUGCUCCCAGCCAGAGCAAUGGUCUGGGUCCACUGCGCAAACAUUCAGUACUGAUCUGUAGCUACACUCUACCGCCCAUUGCGUAUGAGGGUGAGGGCUUGCCUUUUCAAGAGACUCACCUUCAUCCCUUCUUGAAAUACCUAGUACUUCGCGAAAGCUGAAUCUUUGCUCAAAAGUCUUUGAGUUUUUCUAGCCAGAGAAAUGCAGAGGCAGACUGGGGGACUCCAAAGUGGUGGGAACUGCUGUUUCUUGAAGAUAAAUUUGCAGUAAAAUGAAUUCUACAAUUGAGGAUUAAAAGGAUUUCAAAUUUAAAUUGAAUUAAAAUUUUAAAACUUAAUUCACUUAUUUUUCAAAACAACCUUACAAGGUAUACACUACUAUUAUCCCCAUUUCCAGACGAAGAAACCGAGUCACAAAAAGGAUGGAAGCAGCAGCAAUAGGAACAGCAGCAACACAGCCUCGGACCAACUGAGCAUUUAAUUGAACACCUAAUGGAGUGACACUUUGUUUCCUAGGCAAAUUUGGUUGCUAUUAACAGGGAGGUAGUUAUCAUGGUUAAAUUUACUCAUUACAACAAAGUACUAGGGGAGCUUUUUAAUAUUUAUGUGACAAUAAUUGAUCUCUUACCACUGUCAAGUACUGCUAAAGACUUAUCAGCUUGCUGUUUCAGCACCAUAUGUUGUAGCCAAGAUGCACUCCAUGUGUCCUUCCUGUGCCUUGGGGAGAGAACAUUUGCAGUAGAUCAGAAUAGAAAAUGGUAUGGGUUUCAGAAAAGCUGCUUGCUCUCAGCUUUCUCGUCAGUGACCGGGGUAUGCAAGUUGUGACUAUAAAGUAAUGAGACUACCUUCCAAAACCACCCGUGAAAUGAAGCCUCGACCUUUAAUUGUUCUCUUCCCUAGGUUUGAACCAAGAACUGGUCGACCUAAUUAAAGGGGAUUCCUCGUAAAUUCGCCUUGUAUUGCAUUCAACUUAUUUUAAAUAGGGCAUUCUGUGAAAUCUGAAAACCCGCCUACAAUUAAAACACUAACAUCUAUACCAUUUGGUUUUUCUUAAUGAGCCAUGUGCUGAUUUCACUUGUCUUAUUUCAGCAAUAACAAGGAUUAGCACACACAUACCAUAAAUCUCCCAGGAACCUAAGGAGUGGGCUUUUAGAAUUUUUCUUGAGGCAGAUUUCAUUUGAACUUUAUUUAUGGGAGUGAGUGAGCUACUUGGGGAAAGAGAGUUUAACUGUUUCAAACUGUGAGGGUCCCCUUAAGUAAACUGCGUCUGGGAAUCACAGUGUGGGUCAAGGAGCUAGAAACAUUAAGCAUCCCACAGUCAUAUGCAUAGGGAGGCUACCUCAAUAGCUCUGCCUGCCUGAUGAGGUGGGGUUGCAAUGACCCUUGGGUCGUCUGGAGGGUCACAGUUUCAGAAGAUGUGGUGAAAUAAGGCAAGUGUGUUACCAUGACCAUGAUAAUAUUUAUAUUUUAGAAGUAUCUUGAUGUGGUGGGCCUUAAGGAACUGACAUUCACAAGUCUUCCUCCAAGCACACACUGUCUACUAGGUCAAUCACACAAUGAGCUGUUAAUAUUUAAAAUCUAAACACAACAAAAAUUUUUUAAAAAUGGAUCUGUCAAUCACAGUGGAAUGCUAUUUUCCUGGGAUCACUGUGCCACCAUCUUUUCUGGGAUCGAGAAUCUCCUUUUCCGUUCGUUUGUUAGUUUGCUUUUUUGCACCGUUGGAGGAGAACGUUUUCAAAGCAAAUUAAGAGAAAAUUGAAGAAAUGGACCUUUAACCCUUCCUCAGAGCUACUGAUGAGGGCCUGAGAGAAACUUCUCUUUAAAAUCCUCUGGAAAUCUAGAAGCCAUUUGAACAUGUUCAUUAGUGGCCUUUGGCCAAUGAUGUCUGUACAUUUCUUAGACAACUUUUCAUAUAUUUGGAAAAUUCAAUCCAGCCCUAAUGCCACUGUGGAUUAUUUCCUUGGGCUCCUGGAUAUUUUCUGUGCUUCUUCUUCUUUUUUUUGGAUCUG